rnacentral:lncRNA from 1 species
ACAAAUGUUCUGCAGCUUUUCUUAUGGGAUGCUGCAGCGGUUUGCCAUAUAGAGGAGGCAGAUAUGUACCAAAAAGUGUUCCGAUAUCUUUCCUGCUAGCCGGUUCCCCUGUCAUUGUGGCAACCUUGUGGGAUGUACCACAAGAUAUUAGCCAGUUUGUGAAGGCAAUGUUAGAAAGUUUCUGGAGAGAGAGGAGUGAUGAUGUUAAACCAGAGAGAAUUGGGUCGCUCAUGGCUGAUGCACGUUAUGCCUGCGCUCAGCAAUUCUUGACAGGGGCUGCCAUCGUGUGUUAUGGUGUCCCAA